GUGGGGAAUCUUGCGCAAUGGGCGAAAGCCUGACGCAGCCAUGCCGCGUGAAUGAUGAAGGUCUUAGGAUUGUAAAAUUCUUUCACCGGGGACGAUAAUGACGGUACCCGGAGAAGAAGCUCCGGCUAACUUCGUGCCAGCAGCCGCGGUAAUACGAAGGGGGCUAGCGUUGCUCGGAAUUACUGGGCGUAAAGGGCGCGUAGGCGGACAGCUUAGUCAGAGGUGAAAGCCCAGGGCUCAACCUUGGAAUUGCCUUUGAUACUGGCUGGCUAGAGUUUGGGAGAGGUGAGUGGAACUCCGAGUGUAGAGGUGAAAUUCGUAGAUAUUCGGAAGAACACCAGUGGCGAAGGCGACUCACUGGCCCAAUACUGACGCUGAGGCGCGAAAGCGUGGGGAGCAAACAGGAUUAGAAACCCGGGUAGUCC
rnacentral:rRNA from 1 species